CCUACGGGAGGCAGCAGUAGGGAAUUUUCGUCAAUGGGCGCAAGCCUGAACGAGCAAUGCCGCGUGAACGAGGAAGGUCUUCGGAUCGUAAAGUUCUGUUGAAGGGGAAAAAGAGCGGAGAGAGGAAAUGAACUCCGAUUGAUAUUACCCUUCGAGGAAGUCACGGCUAACUACGUGCCAGCAGCCGCGGUAAUACGUAGGUGGCGAGCGUUAUCCGGAAUGAUUGGGCGUAAAGGGUGCGUAGGCGGCCUGCUAAGUCUGGAGUGAAAGGUACUGGCUCAACCGGGACAGGCUCUGGAAACUGGCGGGCUAGAGAGCAGGAGAGGGCGGUGGAACUCCAUGGGUAGCGGUAAAAUGCGUAGAUAUAUGGAAGAACACCAGUGGCGAAGGCGGCCGCCUGGCCUGUUGGCUGACGCUGAGGCACGAAAGCGUGGGGAGCAAAUAGGAUUAGAUACCCGGGUAGUC
rnacentral:rRNA from 1 species